rnacentral:rRNA from 1 species
GAAGUAAAAGUCGUAACAAGGUCUCCGUUGGUGAACCAGCGGAGGGAUCAUUAGAGGGUCUACAGACCACCUACUGUUCUUAACCAUACCGCGUACCUAGCCGGAUAACAAUAUUCAUCUGCCUCGGCGGCGGCCCCAGGGGGGGCCUCUGCCCGCCAAGCCGCAACUCCGCGGUACGGCGGGCGCCGCCGGUGGCGCCUAAACUAAAAAGCAUUGUAAGUGGGUUAUACCACUGCAAAAGAACAAAACAAUGAUAAAAAAAUCAAAACCCAUUACAACCUGCAACAACGGAUCUCUUGGCUCCGGCAUCGAUGAAGAACGCAGCGAAAUGCGAUACGUAAUGCGAAUUGCAGAUCUCCAGUGAGUCAUCGAAUCUUUGAACGCACAUAGCGCCCGCCAGCUCUCUGGCGGGCAUGCCCGUCCGAGCGUCGAUUACACCGCUCGAGCGCGCCUCUCUUACCCAGGGAGGUCGUCGCUCGGUGUUGGGGCAGUAGGGGACCUUUCUCCCCCCUACGCCCCCAAAGGCAUUGCGCGGCCCUCGCAUCAGGACCCAAGCACAGUAAACUUCUCACGUUGAGCUGCUUAGGGACACCUACGCCGAGGCGCCAGCCGUAAAACCCCCAACAUAGGCUUGCU